CAGAGUCAUAUAACUUCUCCAUUGCUCCCCACGUAGCAGGAACAUCAAGAGGAAUAUAGUUUUCAGCAGUUCGGACAGCGCCUUUCUCAGUACGAACUGGAGCAUGGAUCUGCAAAGUAUAGGACAUCAUCAACAAACAAACUAAGCAGGCACAUUAAAGGGGCAUCCUCUGAUGUGAUUGAAAGCUACGGGUCAAAUAUUUACCUCCUUCUCAUUGCGGUAUGCCGGAGCACAAUCAAUCUGCCGGUAUCCAGCCUGUAUUGUAAUUGUAAUGGCAUAAAAUUCUUAGAUUUGAAUAAAAUGGUACAGUUUAACUUUUCAUACUUAAGGAUCUCCACUAGCAUUUUUGUGAGUUUGAAUCACUGACAUUGUAGCAUAUGAAGCACUUCAACACGCAACAAGUCAAGCUGAAUUUAA